GCCGAGGUAUCAGAGUGGACAAAUGAGUCAGUCUGUUAAACUGAUGCUGAUGAUCAUUGUAUUAUUGGCACGGGAGUUCGAAUCUUCCCCUCGGCG
rnacentral:tRNA from 1 species